AGAGUUUGAUCCUGGCUCAGGAUGAACGCUGACAGAAUGCUUAACACAUGCAAGUCUACUUGAACUUCGGUUUGGGUGGCGGACGGGUGAGUAACGCGUAAAGAACUUGCCUCACAGUUAGGGACAACAUUUGGAAACGAAUGCUAAUACCUGAUAUUAUGAUUUUAGGGCAUCCUAAGAUUAUGAAAGCUAUAUGCACUGUGAGAGAGCUUUGCGUCCCAUUAGCUAGUUGGAGAGGUAACGGCUCACCAGGGCGAUGAUGGGUAGCCGGCCUGAGAGGGUGAACGGCCACAAGGGGACUGAGACACGGCCCUUACUCCUACGGGAGGCAGCAGUGGGGAAUAUUGGACAAUGGACCGAGAGUCUGAUCCAGCAAUUCUGUGUGCACGAUGAAGUUUUUCGGAAUGUAAAGUGCUUUCAAUUGGGAAGAAAUAAAUGACGGUACCAACAGAAGAAGUGACGGCUAAAUACGUGCCAGCAGCCGCGGUAAUACGUAUGCCACGAGCGUUAUCCGGAUUUAUUGGGCGUAAAGCGCGUCUAGGUGGUUAUGUAAGUCUGAUGUGAAAAUGCAGAGCUCAACUCUGUAUUGCGUUGGAAACUGUAUAACUAGAGUACUGGAGAGGUAAGCGGAACUACAAGUGUAGAGGUGAAAUUCGUAGAUAUUUGUAGGAAUGCCGAUGGGGAAGCCAGCUUACUGGACAGAUACUGACGCUAAAGCGCGAAAGCGUGGGUAGCAAACAGGAUUAGAUACCCUGGUAGUGCACGCUGUAAACGAUGAUUACUAGGUGUUGGGGGUCGAACCUCAGCGCCCAAGCAAACGCGAUAAGUAAUCCGCCUGGGGAGUACGUUCGCAAGAAUGAAACUCAAAGGAAUUGACGGGGACCCGCCACAAGCGGUGGAGCAUGUGGUUUAAUUCGAAGCAACGCGAAGAACCUUACCAAGUCUUGACAUGCCGUUGACAUACCCGUAACGGGGUAUUUCCUUCGGGACAACGGACACAGGUGGUGCAUGGUUGUCGUCAGCUCGUGUCGUGAGAUGUUGGGUUAAGUCCCGCAACGAGCGCAACCCUUGUCCUUAGUAGCCAGCAGUAAGAUGGGGACUCUAAGGAGACAGACGGAGAUAAUCCGGAGGAAGAUGGGGAUGACGUCAAAUCAUCAUGCCCCUUAUGAUUUGGGCUACACACGUGCUACAAUGGCGUAAACAAAGAGAAGCAAGAGUGCGAGCUUAAGCAAAUCUCAAAAAUAACGUCUCAGUUCGGAUUGCAGGCUGCAACUCGCCUGCAUGAAGCCGGAAUCGCUAGUAAUCGCAGAUCAGCAUGCUGCGGUGAAUACGUUCCCGGGUCUUGUACACACCGCCCGUCACACCAUGGGAGUCAGCAAUGCCCGAAGUCAGUGACCUAACCGCAAGGGAGGAGCUGCCGAAGGCAGGGCGGAUGACUGGGGUGAAGUCGUAACAAGGUAACC
rnacentral:rRNA from 1 species